GGAAAACCAAAUCCUUCAAGAACGAGUUCACCUACGAACAACGAUUUGAGGAGUCGUUCGAAGUCUUGGCCAAGUAUCCCGAUCGAGUUCCCGUAAUUGUUGAGAGAUAUGAGAAAUGUGAACUUCCUGAGAUGGAAAAGAAGAAGUACCUCAUUCCCCGAGACAUGUCUGUUGGCCAAUUCAUCCAUGUUCUAAGCACCAGGCUUCAUCUAGCACCUGGAAAAGCUCUCUUUGUAUUUGUAAAGAAUACUUUGCCUCAAACAGCUAGCUUAAUGAGUACAGUGUACGAGUCGUACAAGGACG
rnacentral:misc_RNA from 1 species